rnacentral:rRNA from 1 species
GAUGAACGCUGGCGGCGUGCCUAAUACAUGCAAGUCGAGCGAACAGACGAGGAGCUUGCUCCUCUGAUGUUAGCGGCGGACGGGUGAGUAACACGUGGAUAACCUACCUAUAAGACUGGGAUAACUUCGGGAAACCGGAGCUAAUACCGGAUAACAUGUUGAACCGCAUGGUUCAACAGUGAAAGACGGUCUUGCUGUCACUUAUAGAUGGAUCCGCGCCGCAUUAGCUAGUUGGUAAGGUAACGGCUUACCAAGGCAACGAUGCGUAGCCGACCUGAGAGGGUGAUCGGCCACACUGGAACUGAGACACGGUCCAGACUCCUACGGGAGGCAGCAGUAGGGAAUCUUCCGCAAUGGGCGAAAGCCUGACGGAGCAACGCCGCGUGAGUGAAGAAGGUCUUCGGACCGUAAAACUCUGUUAUUAGGGAAGAACAAAUGUGUAAGUAACUAUGCACGUCUUGACGGUACCUAAUCAGAAAGCCACGGCUAACUACGUG